CAACAACAAGGCAGUGGAGUACGCCACUGCUGCACGCAACAACAAGGCAACAACGCAGCCAAACAUCUCACCUGCUGAAAAUCUUGUGACCCGCUGCUACCCGCUAGCCCCCGCCCGCCGGAGUCGCCGCCGCGAUGCCCGCCCGAUCCGCCGGGGCCAUCGGGCUCCUCCUCGUCCUCCUGUCCGCCGUCGCGGUCGCCGCCGCCGCCGGGGAGGGGAAUUGGCGGGAGGAGCAGGCGCGGGACCGGGUGCCGCGGGUGCCGGGGCAGGCCUUCGACACCAGCUACGCGCACUACGCCGGGUACGUCACCGUCAGCGAGCCGCGGGGCGCCGCGCUCUUCUAUUGGUUCUUCGAGGCCGAGAAGGACCCGGGGUCCAAGCCCCUCGUGCUCUGGCUCAACGGAGGUACGGACGGCACCUACCCCCACCCCGCCCAACCGCCGCGCAACGUGUGAUCCGGUUCCGUUUGGUAGUACUGUCGACUGUUUGGAUUUGAGGGGUGAAUUUGAGGGCGGCGUAGAAUGCAUCGUUGUGAACUGUGAACGGCGCGCGUGAUCCGUGCUUGGGGCUAGCGAUUCGGACUUGGGAGUAUGGGUGGCUCCGUUAUUUUGGGGAACGGGGCGGGUGAUCUGACAUCUUCAGAUGGGAACGGGGGAUUCGAGAGUGAUGCCUUGCGUUCCCAGUGGCAACUGCACAAGUACCAUGAUGCUGCGUUUGGGAAGGGAGUUAAGAAUACCCUGUUUCCUGAAAGGGUAUCUACAAGAUAAUACUCCGUAAUCUUGUAAAUUUACCAGUCGAAAGAUCUUUUAACUAUAAAUAGCAGUAUAGCACCCGUGUACCUUUCUCCACCCACCCUUUUCAUCGCAGUAGUCAUGAUAUUUCUGUAUCAACUGUCUCUGUCUUGAUACAAGUGGCUGGCAGUGAAUUUGUGAAAAAUGUUACCCUUGCGCUAUUGAUAAACUCAUCCAGGCUAUGUUCCUCUUUACUCAAGUUUAUCUGUUGAAGUCAGUUAAAUUACUGUAUGUAAUCUUCCAGGGCCUGGAUGCUCGUCCAUUGCCUAUGGACUUGGAGAAGAAGUGGGACCUUUCCAUGUUAAUGCUGAUGGAAAGGGGGUACACGUGAAUCCUUAUUCUUGGAACAAAGGUACCAGUCAAUUAAACAAAGUUUGUUCACGAACGAUAGCACCAUUUUCUGUUUUCAAUUUCUCUAUAUGUUGUCAUGUAUCUUUUCUUGAGCCUUUUGUUUCUGGUCUGCACGGAUUGUUUGAUUGCAGAUACUAUCAGUAAACUGCAACUUUUUCCUUUUAAACAAUAAACCUCACUUGAGGCAGCAAUUUACUACAUCUUCAGAAUUCAACUUCAACAAUAGCAUAGAUUCUUUGUUUUCGCAGUGGGCACACCAUUUCUGAUAGGCAUACUGGUGGGCUGGUAUAUACACUAUGGGAAGAGUCACAACUGUGAAUAGGUAUACUUGAAAACCCUUUUUUUCCUUGCAAUAAGGAAGAAGAAGAGGUUUUCAAGUAUGCCUGCCAAUUUCUGCAUUUUGGAUUUGGCUCAGUAACUUUCGUGUCAUUUGCCUUUUUUAUAUGCCGAGCUCAUAUUUAUUCAUGUUUCACUUGUAAAUUGAUAGGUUGUCCAUCCUUAAAUUGUAAGCUCAACAUUCUUGGCACAAAUUAUUUCCUUUAGUCAAGAAAUUGAUUCCAUCUCUGUUAGAUGCAAAGUGCAACUUCACCAUUGAAUUCAUAAACCAUUUUUAAUUGCUCAUAAUCAUAUUGAAUGAAGCUUUAGUUUCAGUCUUAUAAUACUUUUUCUGUUUUAACAAAACUGCAAGUAUUACUUUUCUAUAGCUAAACUUAUCAUUCUUCUAUUUCUUCCCUUGAGAAACAGAGAAUAGCUGUAUAUCAUUUCAUUAGUAAAAGAAAGCUUAGCAGUUCUUAUACACUCAUGGAGUCCAGCUUUAUCCCUCAAUGACAGAUUUGUUAAUAAUUCUUUUAUUUUGCAGUUGCAAAUUUAUUGUUUGUUGAUUCACCUGUUGGUGUUGGUUACUCAUACUCAAACACCUCUGAUGAUAUUUUAAGAAAUGGGGAUGCGAGGACUGGUACUGUAAUCCCUGCACUAUAUAUUAUCUCGUUUACAUGAGAUUUCUGGUCCUGAAUGUUGCGUCAUUAGAUUUUGCUCACUGAUUCUCUCAAUGUUCUAUAGCCAAGGAUUCUUUGGCGUUCUUACUGAAGUGGCUUGAACGCUUUCCUCAGUACAAGGGGCGUGAAUUUUAUUUGACUGGAGAGAGCUAUGCUGGUCAGUAGCUUUUCUUCUAUGAACUUCUGUUUCAUGUGUAUUAGCAACUUCUUUUACUAAAAAAAUAAAAAAACUGAUGGAACUCCAAUUUGGUUAGGUCACUAUGUUCCUCAACUGGCUCAAGCCAUAAAAAGGUACCAUGAGGCGACGGGCGACAAAUUGAUUAAUUUAAAGGGCUACAUGGUAUGGUUUUGUCGUUUUGGUGAUUCUACUUUUACUUCUCCAAUGCCAUCAUGUAUUUUGAUAAUUCAGGAAUAUCCCUUUUUGUUGGCCAAAUUAGAUAUUUCUAGUCAUAUUUGUAAUUUCCUCUGCAGUUUUUGUUGUCCCUUAUGUCCUGUGUCUUUUUUUUUAUAAAAGAACCUUAAACUUUUGAUUCCCAAAUUGGGUACAUAUCUGCUGCGGUCAAGGAAAAUUGGAUGCUGGCCUUAUUCAAUGGUGGACUGACCUUUAGCUGUUUCCCAUUUAGAUGAUGUUGUGCUAAUUACUAUAUUUCCUCUUUGUCUUUGCUUUCUUGGCACAUCAAAGGAGAUCAUUUGAUAGCUUGCCUUCAACUUCUUUUUUCCAUUUAAGACUAUAUUUUCAUCAGUGGGGCUAUAAAGUAAUACGAGUGUAAUUAAUCAAGUGGCCACAAGUAUAUUGUCUGUAUAGAGAUGCAUUUUGAACUGUACCAUGAAUCCAUGAUGCGUUAAACUAGGAGCCAGAAUUCUAGUCUCGUUUCAUUAUAUCUAAGUCAUUUUGUGCAGGUUGGAAAUGCUCUCACUGAUGACUUCCAUGACCACUAUGGAAUAUUUCAAUUCAUGUGGACUACUGGCUUGAUCUCCGAUCAAACAUACAAGCUGCUGAACAUUUUCUGUGACUUCGAGUCCUUUGUGCAUACGUCUAAACAGUGUGACAAGAUUCUUGAUAUUGCUAGCAAGGAAGCUGGAAACAUUGAUUCAUAUAGCAUCUUCACACCUACAUGCCAUGCAACUUUUGCCUCCUCAAAGAACAAAGUGAUGAAAAGGCUACGUGUAAGUUUUUGAUAUCCAAAACUCAAGCAAUAUCACAUAAUUUCAAUUUAUACCUUAUACUAGCAAGGAGCACUUGCGUUGCGAUGAAUCUCAAAUAAAGUUACUAUAAGUCCUAAAUGCUCGUGUUGACCUAAUCAUCAUACACAGGCAGACAUAUUUGAUUUUAGAAAUUUAAGCAGUAAUUAUUAGUACCAUAGAUUAUGUGAAUUCUCUAUUGAGGAUCCUAAUGCCACAUCAAUAUGUAUACAUGAAUGGACACAGAAAAUUUCCCAAGGUGAAGGUGGUAAAACCUCCAAUCAUGAGCAUCUCUAUUUCUUAUAGCAAUAAAGAUAUAUCACUGCAUUUUGAUUCAGCUGCAUAUUCAUGUGUAAGUUGCAUGAUUGCUGCUUUCUCCAGAACAUGAAAAGGAAUACUGCAGACUGUUUUCACUUAGCCUUUUUUUCAAUUUUUUUUUAAAGGAGUUCCCCAUAUCGGUACAACUUUGACUACACAAACUAGAGCGAAAAGGAAUGUCUCCACCUGCAGGUCACAAUUGAAUCUGCAUUCCAGUAUUCGCAGAUCUUACUGGUGAGGGGUGGAGGUUCGCCACAUCAGGAGAUUCGGGGUACAUGUAUAUUGUUUUUAAGUGGAUUGCAUGGAACACUAUUAAUGUUACAUGAGGCAGGAGGCUUUUUAAAGCAAGAUUGAAAAUUUAAAAGGAAAAAUUGGAAGUCCACUGCAAUGUGGUGAGAACUAUUGGAUUAGGUCUCGCAUCUAGUUCUGGCUGGGAUCUGCAGUUUUGAUUUCAAUUUGUGAACCCCGAUCUACAUAGUCCAUUCUGUGUGUAGUGCAAAUGGGCACUUAUGAUAUUUAAACUGUUCUCAUUCAUGAACCGACAGUUCCACAUAUCUUCUAUAUAUCUGAUUCAUAAGCAUGAUUUCUUUUUAUAGUCUGUUGGAAAAAUGGGAGAGCAGUACGACCCAUGCACUGAAAAGCAUUCAACUGUGUACUUCAAUCUAGCUGAGGUCCAAAAGGCACUUCAUGUUAAUCCAGUGAUUGGAAAAUCAAAAUGGGAGACAUGCAGGUAACUGUUAUGAUUGCAUUUUAGACAUCUGUUGCUGUCAUUAUCCUGACAUGUUGGAACCUGAAUUCUUCUUGAUGAAUUAACAAGAGAUUCAGCUUAUAAAUUUCCAUUCUCAUUGGAAUGGUUCUUAUAUUUUUUUAUUUGUAGUAAUACUGUUUAUUUUUGGCAAGAAUAAAAAAUUAUCGAUUUUAUUUCCCACUGCAUGAUGUAUGGUUAAUUGGUUAUUGAUCUUAUUACUGCCACAAGAUUUUUUUUAUUUGGGUCCUUGUACUGCCAAUUCUACUGUUAUAUGUUUAUGCUUUUCAAUAUGAAUAUGCAUUACUUGGACUGGACUUUUCAUUUCUCAAGGUUAUUUCAUAUUUUGCACUAACUGAACUGGGAAACAUGAAUACCAAUGGCACAAAUACCUAAUAAGCAUAUUAGGAAACAUGUUUAUUUUGUCAUCCAUCUUUUAAUACUAUAUUUUGGGACUGAUAUUCUCUACAGUGGAGUCGUUAAUAAUCAUUGGGGGGACUGCGAAAGAUCUGUGCUGCAUAUCUAUCAUGAACUUAUACAGUAUGGCCUUCGUAUAUGGGUGUUCAGGUGAUUCCUAACUCUAUGGACUUUUAAAAGAAGGUUGCUAUACCAUCCAAGUGGCUCUUAUAUGUUCUUUAGCAGAGUUUUAAGAAUAAUUUUGGUUUGCUCUAAAAAAGGAAGAAUGGGUUCGGUUUCUUGGCUCAUCUAGAAAAAUGGCAUAGCUUAGUUCUACUACCUUCAGUACUUUUGGUCCAAUAACAUGGUUGCAUGCUGUAACAAUGAUGUAACACUUCUUUCAAGGAACUAAUUUAUUUAUUCAUAUGAAGGUUGUGAAAGAAAGUAACACAGAUUAAAGAUAAAGAUGUUUUGUCUUUUUUUUUCUAAUUUUUUUGUUUCAAAUUUUGUGCAGUGGAGAUACAGAUGCAGUGAUUCCUGUGACAUCAACUAGAUAUAGCAUUGAUGCUCUGAAGCUUCCAACAGUAACUCCAUGGCAUGCUUGGUACGACGAUAACGGAGAGGUAGGGCUUUUAUCACCUCAACCUAUCAUUGAGUCCGUUAAGCAUAAGCACAUGGUCUUGAACCUGUAGAAGUCUGUACCUACUUGGCCACCUAAGUCAGAUAGGAAAUUCCCAAAUCUUGGUCACAUGCUAUACUUGUAAUGUUGUCCUUUUCAAAUGGGACCCACUAUAUUUUACGGGCCCUUGCAAUGUAAAAUUCUUUAUGUCAUUUGUGAUUUCUCGCUACAAAAAUAUGUUCUUCUUUGGAGUAUCCAUCAACCAUUCCUAAUUUCUGAUUCUUGUAUGUUUGAAUAGGUUGGUGGCUGGAGUCAAGGGUACGAGGGACUCACCUUUGUGACUGUUAGGGGUGCAGGCCAUGAAGUUCCUCUUCAUCGGCCCAAACAGGCUCUCACACUCAUCAAAUCAUUCUUGGCUGGGACUCCAAUGCCUGUGCAAUCCAGUGCCCACAGCGACAUGUAACCUGUACUGCUACAACUGAUUCAAGACAUGGCCAUCAUCAAAGUUCCAUCUCAGCCAAGUCAGUCACUUGUUUGAACCCCACUUG
rnacentral:lncRNA from 1 species